rnacentral:lncRNA from 1 species
AUGGGACAUGGUUUAGUGUGUUGCACACUGCAAUCAAUGCGUGACCUCAAAACAAUUUUGAGAAAUUUGCAUGGCUUGUUAUUAAUCGCAUUAUAUGUAAUAAUUAACGAUUCCUCCUUUUAGAUACACCACCUUGCUGCAGUGUAUAUGAAGGAGUCCACUGCACGAGAAUCUCAUUCUCUCUUAAAUAAUCUAAAUUUUAUCUUUAAGAUACUCUCACUUGAUCGAAUCUUAAUGUGAAGGUAUCUUUACCUCUUUGUUUCUCUAAUUCUAGUGUGAAUCCCUUGAACUUUUCAAGAGUUUCAUGUUUGAGUUUUCAUCAAGUAUA